UACGUAGGGGGCUAGCGUUGUCCGGAAUUAUUGGGCGUAAAGAGCUCGUAGGCGGUUUGUCGCGUCUGCCGUGAAAGUCCGGGGCUCAACUCCGGAUCUGCGGUGGGUACGGGCAGGCUCGAGUUCGGUAGGGGAGACUGGAAUUCCUGGUGUAGCGGUGAAAUGCGCAGAUAUCAGGAGGAACACCGGUGGCGAAGGCGGGUCUCUGGGCCGAUACUGACGCUGAGGAGCGAAAGCGUGGGGAGCGAACAGG
rnacentral:rRNA from 1 species